rnacentral:rRNA from 1 species
UCAUUGGGAUUCGUAGCUAAACCUAAAGGCGAAAUGAAAGUGAAGGCGCGCCUCGCGCGCGCCAAGGGAGGAUGGGCGGGACUACGUCGCCGCCCCGCACUCCCGGGGCGUCUCGUUCUCAUCGCGAGAAGAGGCGCACCCAGAGCGUACACGCUGGGACCCGAAAGAUGGUGAACUAUGCCUGGUCAGGACGAAGUCAGGGGAAACCCUGAUGGAGGUCCGUAGCGAUUCUGACGUGCAAAUCGAUCGUCGGAACUGGGUAUAGGGGCGAAAGACUAAUCGAACCAUCUAGUAGCUGGUUCCCUCCGAAGUUUCCCUCAGGAUAGCUGGCGCUCGCUUUUUUGCGAGUCUCAUCCGGUAAAGCGAAUGAUUAGAGGCAUUGGGGUCGAAACGGCCUCAACCUAUUCUCAAACUUUAAAUGGGUGAGAUCUCCGGCUUGCUUAAACACGUUUGUUAUGAAGCCGCGAGAUCGGAUCAGAGUGCCAAGUGGGCCAUUUUUGGUAAGCAGAACUGGCGCUGUGGGAUGAACCAAACGCGGAGUUAAAGCGCCUAAAUCGACGCUUAUGGGAUACCAUGAAAGGCGUUGGUAACUUAAGACAG